rnacentral:misc_RNA from 1 species
GUACAUUAGUGCUUGCGCACAAGAAGGUCUUUCUGUUACAUUCGAGUUUGUGUAAAUCCUCUGCCAGCCAAAGCCAGCAUGAGGCCAAAGGUUCACAAAAGGGGGUUGGAUGAAAGUCACCAACGUGCACAUGCCGGAGCCAGCACAGAAGGUAACAAAUCAAAAUCAAUAAUGAUCCUUCCGCAGGUUCACCUACGGAAA